rnacentral:rRNA from 1 species
UUGGGCCAUGCCACCCUGAACAUGCCCAGUUUCAUCUGAUCUCAGAAACUAAGUAGAGUUAGGCCUCAUUAGUAUUUGAAUGGCAAAAAUCAGGCCUUUCUAAU